rnacentral:tRNA from 1 species
UAUUUAAAUAGUAUAUUUAGUAUUAUUAAUUUCCAAUUAAUAGGUUUUAUAAUUAAAUUUAAAUA